rnacentral:rRNA from 1 species
UACGUAUGGUGCAAGCGUUAUCCGGAUUUACUGGGCGUAAAGGGAGCGCAGGCGGCGCGCCAAGUCUGAUGUGAAACCCCGGGGCUCAACCCCGGGCAUGCAUUGGAAACUGGCGGGCUGGAGUGCCGGAGAGGUAAGCGGAAUUCCUAGUGUAGCGGUGAAAUGCGUAGAUAUAAGGAAGAACACCAGUGGCGAAGGCGGAUUACUGGACGAUAACUGACGGUGAGGCGCGAAAGCGUGGGGAGCAAACAGG